UACGUAGGGGGCGAGCGUUGUCCGAAGUUACUGGGCGUAAAGCGCGCGUAGGCGGCUACUUAAGUCUGAUGUGAAAGGUUCAGGGCUCAACCCGAACAGUGCAUUGGAUACUGGGUAGCUUGAGUAUGGGAGAGGGAAGCGGAAUUCCAGGUGUAGCGGUGAAAUGCGUAGAUAUCUGGAGGAACACCGAUGGCGAAGGCAGCUUCCUGGCCUGUAACUGACGCUGAGGUGCGAAAGCGUGGGGAGCAAACAGG
rnacentral:misc_RNA from 1 species